rnacentral:rRNA from 1 species
AUUGAACGCUAGCGGGAUGCUUUACACAUGCAAGUCGAACGGAGUGGCGGACGGGUGAGUAAUAUAUCGGCACGUGCCCCGUAGCGGGGGAUCACUACUCGAAAGCGUGGCUAAUACCGCCAUCUAUUUGAGCGGCCGAUCUCGGAUUGGCUAGUUGGUGGGGUAAAGGCUCACCAAGGCAACGAUCCGUAGCUGGUUUGAGAGGACGACCGGCCACACUGGAACUAAGACACGGCCCGGACUCCUACGGGAGGCGGCAGUGGGAAAUAUUGGACAAUGGGCGCAGGCCGGAUGAGGACAGGCCGCGGGGAUGAGAAGGGCUCUAGGGUUGUAAGGUACGUUCAGUCGGGAGGCGGUACCGACAGAGGAAGCACCGGCUAACUCCGUGCCAGCAGCCGCGGUAAUUC